ensembl:misc_RNA
GGUGAAAGACACCAGGGUACUUGUAGCAACUGAGCAACCCAGGAUGUUGGAGAGGCUUCAGGAAGCAAAUGUUCUCUUAGAUGAUAUCCAGAAGGGGCUGAAUACUUAUUUGGAGAAGAAAAGAUUAUUUUUCUCACGGUAAAUUGAUUAACAGGUUCAAC